rnacentral:ncRNA from 1 species
UCUGAAUGUCAAAGUGAAGAAAUUCAACCAAGCGCGGGUAAACGGCGGGAGUAACUAUGACUCAAGCAAACGCUUCAAAAGGUUACCGAAGUGAGGGUCAAGCAGCGCCUAAAGGCGAUUGCUAGUGGGGGGCUUGCGUGCCCCCUGCGACACUGUCAAAUUGCGGGGACCUCCUAAAGCCUCUACCACCGCGGUCCGCCGAAAGGCGCGAUGCAGCACCAGGGUAAUGACCUCGGGGAUGGUAAUAGCGUAGAGGAUGCACCAAUGGAAAAUCCGCAGCCAAGU